rnacentral:rRNA from 1 species
UGUGGUUAAUUCGAUGCAACGCGAAGAACCUUACCUGGGCUUGACAUCCCUCGGAAUCCCCUGGAAACAGGGGAGUGGCCCUUCGGGGAGCCAGGAGACAGGUGCUGCAUGGCUGUCGUCAGCUCGUGUCGUGAGAUGUUGGGUUAAGUCCCGCAACGAGCGCAACCCUUGUCUUUAGUUGCCAUCAUUCAGUUGGGCACUCUAAAGAGACUGCCGGUGUCAAACCGGAGGAAGGUGGGGAUGACGUCAAGUCCUCAUGGCCUUUAUGACCAGGGCUACACACGUACUACAAUGGCCGGUACAAAGGGCAGCCACUUAGCGAUAAGGAGCCAAUCCCGUAAAGCCGGUCUCAGUCCGGAUUGGAGUCUGCAACUCGACUCCAUGAAGUUGGAAUCGCUAGUAAUCGCAGAUCAGCACGCUGCGGUCGAAUACGUUCCGGCCUU